UGAUUCUAAUACAUCGGUUUUAAAAAAAAACCCUUAAACGUUUAGGAUUACGCAAAACAACAAAAAAGCACUAAAAUGACAUUGCAGCAGCAGAGUUUUUGAAAUAAGAUACAAGAUAACAAUGCACUACUAUAAAGAUGUAUAAUUGAUUAAUAAGUAAUUACUUGAAAUCCAUCUACAUAUUUACACCAGCCCAGUAUCAUUUUAUACGUUUGUUUUUCCACUUGUCUAGGUAAGCUACCGGCUGUGAUGGUAAGGUACCAUCUUUAAUGAUGCGCAGGGCCGUAGUUUCCAAGACAGAACUGCACAAUGGGUACAUGACUGCAAGAUCCUGCUCCCUCGAAUAUAACGGGAAGAAUAUUUUAACUGUACACAUUAUACGUAUAUAAGUAUCCAGUUAAAUUCUGAAUGCUUGAAGUCUUUAAAUGCACGGACAGGAUGUACCCCUGCGGAAAAUCUAUUUUUAGGAGUCCGGUGGGAAUUGGAUAGCGGGUUAAAGGUCGCCUUUGUAGCUGAAAGUUUGUAGUGGCUGGGACAGAACUACGGGGUGGCGGUCACUGCACACUCCUCAUCUCGCGAAAAUUAAAAAUUAAAGACAGCCUGUUAAGGAACAGUUAGUUUCCUUGCUGACGCGAUCAUGGUGUGACCUUCAGGGCUACAUUUGGAAAUACAAGCAGCCGUUUAUCUGGAGCGCGUGGUUCCACCAAAGUCAGUCACAAACUGAAGAACAACACAUUUUCACGCAAGAGUGUGGCACGGAGCACCACCCACCGCUUUGGCCAGCUUGCAGGCCUGGUCCGGCGAGUUGAGAAUCUCAUAGAAGAAGACGGAGAAGUUGAGGGCCAGACCCAGACGGAUGGGGUGUGUGGGCUGCAUCUCGUUCUUGCUGAUGUCAAACGCUGCCUGGUAAGCCUCCUGCGAGUUGGUGAUGAUGG